UACAUGGGGUGCAAACGUUGCUCGGAAUCAUUGGGCGUAAAGCGCGCGUAGGCGGUUACUUAAGUCGAAUGUGAAAGCCCUCGGCUUAACCGAGGAAGUGCAUCCGAAACUGAGUAGCUAGAGUACGAAAGAGGGUCGCGGAAUUCCCGGUGUAGAGGUGAAAUUCGUAGAUAUCGGGAGGAACACCGGUGGCGAAGGCGGCGACCUGGGUCGAGACUGACGCUGAGGAGCGAAAGCGUGGGGAGCGAACAGG
rnacentral:rRNA from 1 species